rnacentral:rRNA from 1 species
AUUUACAUUUGAGUGAGUGGCGAACUGGUGAGUAACACGUGGGAAACCUGCCCAGAAGCGGGGGAUAACACCUGGAAACAGAUGCUUAUACCGCAUAACAACUUGGACCGCAUGGUCCGAGCUUGAAAGAUGGCUUCGGCUAUCACUUUUGGAUGGUCCCGCGGCGUAUUAGCUAGAUGGUGGGGUAACGGCUCACCAUGGCAAUGAUACGUAGCCGACCUGAGAGGGUAAUCGGCCACAUUGGGACUGAGACGCGGCCCAAACUCCUACGGGAGGCAGCAGUAGGGAAUCUUCCACAAUGGACGAAAGUCUGAUGGAGCAACGCCGCGUGAGUGAAGAAGGGUUUCGGCUCGUAAAACUCUGUUGUUAAAGAAGAACAUAUCUGAGAGUAACUGUUCAGGUAUUGACGGUAUUUAACCAGAAAGCCACGGCUAACUACGUGCCAGCAGCCGCGGUAAUACGUAGGUGGCAAGCGUUGUCCGGAUUUAUUGGGCGUAAAGCGAGCGCAGGCGGUUUUUUAAGUCUGAUGUGAAAGCCUUCGGCUCAACCGAAGAAGUGCAUCGGAAACUGGGAAACUUGAGUGCAGAAAGAGGACAGUGGAACUCCAUGUGUAGCGGUGAAAUGCGUAGAUAUAUGGAAGAACACCAGUGGCGAAGGCGGCUGUCUGGUCUGUAACUGACGCUGAGGCUCGAAAGUAUGGGGUAGCAAACAGGAUUAGAAUACCCUGGUAGUCCAUACCGUAAACGAAUGAAUGCUAA